rnacentral:rRNA from 1 species
GACGAACCGUGCGAACGUUGUUCGGAAUCACUGGGCUUAAAGGGCGCGUAGGCGGACCUCCAAGUCCGGGGUGAAAUCUUUCGGCUUAACCGGAAAAGUGCCUUGGAUACUGGGGUCUCGAGGGAGGCAGGGGCGGAUGGAACUUCCGGUGGAGCGGUGAAAUGCGUUGAUAUCGGAAGGAACGCCGGUGGCGAAAGCGAUCCGCUGGACCUCUACUGACGCUGAGGCGCGAAAGCCAGGGGAGCAAACGGG